AAUCUCUGUUAUUAUUCUCUUCUUUAGCUGAUUGUUAUCUAUGAUCCCCUUUAGUACAUUGAAGAUGUCUGGUUCCUCAGUAAAAAAAAAAAUCCAUUUAUCAAAGGAUGGGUUUGGUAUAACAGGUUAGGAAAGAGGGAACAGGAAGUCCCUAAUCUGUUUUCCACCUAGAGUUUCUUCAGGGGUUGAAGCUCAAAUCUGGGGACUAAGUCCCAGAAGACCUUAAGAUCUUUAGGUAUUCACGAUGAUGUAUUUUCUUGAAACAGAAAUAUAGCUUUUGAAGGAAAUCUUCUGAUGGAGAGGCUAUUGCCUUUCCCAAAGGGAAAAAGUCUCUAUCCAACAACUAUGAAGACAGAUGGUGCAUAAAGACCACGGGUGACGGGGAAUCAGGGUUUGAUUACGGAGAGGGAGCCUGAGAACAUCCAAGGAGGGCAGCAGGCAUGCAAGUUACCCACUCCCGACCCAGGGAGAUAGUGACAAAAAAUAGCAAUACAGGACUCUUUCGAGGCCCUGUAAUUGGAAUGAGUGCACUUUAAAUCCUUUAACGAGGAUCCAUUGGAGGGCAAGUCUGGUGCCAGCAGCCGCGGUAAUUCCAGCUCCAAUAGCGUAUAUUAAAGUUGCUGCAGUUAAAAAGCUCAUAAUUGGAUCUUGGGAUCAAGCUGGUGGUCUGCCGCGAGGUGAGCCACCUCCUGUCCCAGUCCCUGCCUCUCAGCGCCCCCUCGAUGCUCCUGGAUGUCUCACGGGACCCAAAGCAUUUACUUUGAAAAAAUUAGAGUGUUCAAAGCAGGCCUGAGUCAACUGGAUACCCUAGCUAGGAAUAAUGGAAUAGGACCCUGAUUCUAUUUUAUUGAUUUUUGGAACUGGAGCCAUGAUUAAGAGGGAUGGCCACGGGCAUUCAUACUGUGCCACUAGAGGUGAAAUUCUUGGACCGGUGCAAGGCAUACCAGAGUGAAAGCAUUUGCCAAGAAUGUUUUUAUUAAUCAAAAAUGAAAGUUAGAGGUUUGAAGAUGAUCAGAUACCAUCAUAGUUCUUACCACAAACGAUGCCGACUAGCAAUCUGGUGGCAUUAUUCCCAUGACCCACCAGGCAGCUUCCAGGAAACCAAAGUCUUUGGGUUCCGAGGGGAGUUGGUCUCUC
rnacentral:ncRNA from 1 species